GGCGCACGGGUGAGUAACGCGUAUGCAACCUGCCUGUAACUGGAGGAUAGCCCUUGGAAACGAGGAUUAAUACUGCGUAACAUUAUUGAAUCGCAUGGUUUAAUAAUCAAAUCUACGGAGGUUACAGAUGGGCAUGCGUGCCAUUAGUUAGAUGGUGAGGUAACGGCUCACCAUGACAUCGAUGGCUAGGGGUUCUGCAAGGAAGAUCCCCCACACUGGUACUGAGACACGGACCAGACUCCUACGGGAGGCAGCAGUGAGGAAUAUUGGUCAAUGGAGGCAACUCUGAACCAGCCAAGCCGCGUGAAGGAAGACUGUUCUAUGAAUUGUAAACUUCUUUUGUGGUAGAGUAAAUAUAGCUACGUGUAGUUAUUUGCAAGUAUACCAUGAAUAAGCAUCGGCUAACUCCGUGCCAGCAGCCGCGGUAAUACGGAGGAUGCAGGCGUUAUCCGGAUUUAUUAGGUUUAAAGGGUGUCUAGGCUGCCACAUAAGUCAGGGGUGAAAGUCGGUUGCUCAACAAUCGAAUUGCCUUUGAAACUGUGUGGCUCGAGUAUAGAUCAGGUAGGCGGAAUGUGUAGUGUAGCGGUGAAAUGCAUAGAUAUUACACAGAACCCCAAUUGCGAAGGCAGCUUACCAAACUAUUACUGACGCUGAAGCACGAAAGCGUGGGUAGCGAACAGGAUUAGAUACCCUGGUAGUCCACGCCGUAAACUAUGCUCAC
rnacentral:rRNA from 1 species